CUGAAGAGGAUUUGUUUUAUAAAUAGGAAUUGUUGAGGAACAAAGAAACAGACUGGGGAGGCAUAAAGCAGGGAAGGAGACUCUAUCUCAAGAGUGACAGCAGUGAUAUCCUGAUAGCAGUGAAAUCAUUAACAUCAAGCCAGAUAACACCAGAGGGUCUCUGUCUCACAGAACAACACAUGAAAAGGAGCACUGUUUUGCUUUUGAAGGAACAAAGAAAAGUGUGAUGGCCAAACGAUUAGUAUGCCACUGACCCAAACUGGUUACAUCAGGACUGGGGGAAAAGAAGACCUGAUGUUAGACAGAAACACAGUGUCAAAAGGAGCUCCAACUCUGCAAGCUCAA